UCGAACGGGUGUAGCAAUACAUCAGUGGCAGACGGGUGAGUAACACGUGGGAACCUUCCUAGGGGUACGGAACAACUCAGGGAAACUUGAGCUAAUACCGUAUACGUCCGUGAGGAGAAAGAUUUAUCGCCCUUAGACGGGCCCGCGUCGGAUUAGGUAGUUGGUGGGGUAACGGCCUACCAAGCCUACGAUCCGUAGCUGAUCUUAGAGGAUGAUCAGCCACACUGGGACUGAGACACGGCCCAGACUCCUACGGGAGGCAGCAGUGGGGAAUCUUGGACAAUGGGCGCAAGCCUGAUCCAGCCAUGCCGCGUGAGUGAAGAAGGCCUUAGGGUUGUAAAGCUCUUUUACCAGGGACGAUAAUGACGGUACCUGGAGAAUAAGCCCCGGCAAACUUCGUGCCAGCAGCCGCGGUAAUACGAAGGGGGCUAGCGUUGUUCGGAAUUACUGGGCGUAAAGCGCACGUAGGCGGGUCGUUAAGUCAGGGGUGAAAUCCCGGAGCUCAACUCCGGAACUGCCUUUGAUACUGGCGAUCUAGAGAUCGAGAGAGGUGAGU
rnacentral:rRNA from 1 species